UUUGAUGCUGCGUCGCCAGGCGUAGAGUAGUCGUUGUUGAAAUACCACCCUUGAAUUAUCUGAUGCCUAACCCGAUGAGGGGACAUUGUGUGGUGGGUAGUUUGACUGGGGUGGUCGCCUCCAAAAGAGUAACGGAGGCUUCUAAAGGUUCCCUCAGCACGCUUGGUAACCGUGCGCAGAGUGCAAUGGCAUAAGGGGGCUUGACUG
rnacentral:rRNA from 1 species